UACAGAGGUCUCAAGCGUUGUUCGGAUUCAUUGGGCGUAAAGGGUGCGUAGGCGGCGCGGUAAGUCGGGUGUGAAAUCUUGGAGCUUAACUCCGAAACUGCAUUCGAUACUGCCGUGCUUGAGGACUGGAGAGGAGACUGGAAUUUACGGUGUAGCGGUGAAAUGCGUAGAUAUUGGGAAGAACACCGGUGGCGAAGGCGGCCAUCUGGACCGGUUCUGACGCUGAGGCGCGAAAGCGUGGGGAGCAAACAGG
rnacentral:rRNA from 1 species